AGAAAAUUCAAUUAAUAUAGCAAAGAUGUAGGUAGCAUGAUAACAUUACUAACGGGUUUGAAAAUUAUUUUAACCCGGCAGUUUUAUUUUUAUUCGAUCGUGGGACGAACACAGUUUAAAAUAAACAUGCAAUAGUCUAGUGACGUCUGGAUAGAUCUGUUCCCUUUUUAAUACGAUGCAGAAGCAGUGCCAGUCUCAGUAUUGCAUUAGACUUUCGAAAGAGAUAUCGACAACCAAACUUUUAACAUUUAAAUUUCUAAUAUUUCAAAAAAAAUCAUAUAAUAUUUAGUUCUUGAAAACGUUUAGUUAAACAACAUGACAAAAACAACAAAUUUGACUGCACAUGAAUGGAAGGAGGAGGGCAAUGUGGAAUUCAAUAAAGGAAAUUGGUCAGAAGCUUUAAGUUGUUAUACAAAUGCAUUGAAACUUACAAAUGAAGAUAAUUCAGAGAAAGCUAUAUAUUAUAAGAAUCGUGCUGCUACAUAUUUAAAACAAGAAGAAUAUAAUAAAGCAAUUGAAGAUUGUGAUGAAGCUCUUAAAAUAUCUCCAAAUGAUCCAAAAGCAUUGUUUCGUCGAUGUCAAGCAUUAGAAGCAUUGGAAAGAUACGAAGAAGCAUAUCGUGAUGCAAGAUACAUUAUUUCUGCAGAUCCUGGCAAUAAAGCAAUUCAACCUAUUGCUGCAAAGUUACAUGAAAUUGUCCAAGAAAGAUAUAGACAAAAUUCUCGUGUUAGUGUAAAGGUAUCACAAAUGAUAGAUAUAGCUUUCGAAAUAAAAGGAGAUAGUGAAAAACGAGAAACAGCAAUGAACAAUUUACUUGUUCUUGCUCGGGAAAGAGCAGGAGCAGAAAUAAUGUUUAAUGAUGGAGUAAUCUCUAAAAUAAUAAAGAUGCUUAAACUUGAGAAAAGUGAGGAAAUAAUAACAAUUGGUGUUCGAAUUAUUGCAGAAUUAUGUAAAGAUAACAUUAAUAGAACUGAAACUAUUAUAAAGCAAAUUGGAAUACCUUGGUGUUUAGAAAUGAUCAACAGUAUAAUUGCAGAAAGAGUAAAUGCUGCUCAAUAUUGCUUACAGACAAUACUAAACACAUAUAGUGGAAUGACUAACAAACCAGAUUCAAAACCAAACAAAGAAUUGUGUGAUAAAUACAACAAGGAGAUAGAUACUAUUUUAUCUUGUUUACUGUACAGUGUAACGAGCAGAACAAUUUCUGGACUAGCUAGAGAUGCAAUUAUAGAACUUAUUAUGCGUAACAUCCACUAUACUACAUUAAAUUGGGCAGAACGAUUAGUUGAACUUCAUGGUUUAAAACGUUUAAUGGAAGUAGCUAGUGAGCUUGAAGAAUAUAAAUAUGAAUCCUCAAUGCACAUUACAUCAUCUACUAGAACUAUAACAAGUGUGUGCUUGGCAAGAAUUUAUGAAAAUAUGUAUUAUGAUGCAGCAAAGGAAAAAUUUAGAAAUGCUAUUGAUGAAUAUAUAAAAGAUAAACUACUAACACCAGAUAUAGAAUCUAAGGUUCGUGUUGUAGUUGCAAUAACAACUUUAUUGCUUGGUCCACUAGAUGUUGGAAAUACAAUAAUUGCUAAGGGAGGUAUUUUAGAAAUGAUACUUGUUAUGGCAGGAACAGAAGAUCUAUUACAACAAAAAGUUGCUUGCGAAUGUAUUAUUGCCGCUGCAUCCAAAAAAGACAAAGCUACCACAAUUAUCAAUCAAGGCGUGAAUAUAUUAAAGAAGUUGUACCAAUCUAAAGAUGAUUCUAUUAGAGUACGUGCUUUAGUAGGAUUGUGUAAAUUAGGUAGUUCAGGUGGUACAGAUGCUACAAUAAGACCAUUUGCUGAUGGAGCAACAAAAAAAUUGGCUGAAGCUUGUAGAAGGUUUUUAAUUAAUCCUAAAAAACAAAAAGAUAUGAGAAAAUGGGCAGUGGAAGGAUUAUCAUAUCUUACUUUUGAUGCUGAAGUCAAAGAAAAAUUAAUUGAAGAUGUGCAAGCAGUUCAAGCAAUGAUAGAACUGGCCAAAACUGGAGAUCAGUCUGUAAUUUAUGGCGUCGUUACUACAUUAGUGAAUUUAUGUAAUGCAUAUGAUAAACAAGAACUUAUACCAGAAAUGAUUGAAUUAGCGAAAUUUGCAAAACAUCAUAUACCAGAAGAACAUGAGUUAGAUGAUAUAGAUUUUGUAAAUAAAAGAGUAAUUGCAUUAGCUAACGCCGGUGUAACAUAUGCAUUAGUCGCACUUUCUAAAACAGAAAGCCAAAAUAGCAAAGAACUAAUAGCACGUGUAUUUAAUGCAAUUUGUAGUCAACCGGAUGUACGAGGAAUUGUUGUUCAACAAGGUGGAGGAAAAGCACUUUUACCAUUAGCUCUAGAUGGCACAGAUAAAGGAAAAAAACAAGCAUCACAAGCUCUCGCGCGAUUAGGAAUUACAAUAAAUCCAGAAGUUGCAUUUCCUGGACAAAGAAUAAUGGAGGUAGUUCGACCAUUUUUAAAUCUUUUAAAUCCAGAAUGCUCUGCACUUGAAAACUUUGAAGCUUUAAUGGCCUUAUGCAACUUAGCUGGUGUUAAUGAUAGUAUUCGAAAACGAAUUUUAAAAGAAGGAGGCUUCCAAAAAGUUGAAGCUUAUAUGUAUGAAGAUCAUGAAAUGUUAAAACGUGCAUCCACGCAGGUUAUAAAUAAUUUAAUGAUGUGUGAAGACACUAUUAAGUAUUAUGAACAAGAAAACGAUAGAGUUAAAUAUCUAGUCAUUCUUUGUGAAGAUGAAGAUGUAGAUACAAGCAUGGCGGCAGCAGGGGCCUUAGCAAUGUUAACAUCAGUUAGCAUAAAGUCUUGCAUAAAAAUAUUUGAUUCAAAGGAUUGGUUAGAAUCACUACAUUAUUUACUUGCUAAUCCAAAUUCUGAUUUACAACAUAGGGGGAUUAUAAUAGUUUUAAAUAUGAUGAAAAGUACAAAAGAUGUAGCAAGUAGAAUGAUUGAAACUGAUGUAAUGGAAAUUUUAAUGGCUUUGACAAAGAGUGACACAGUGGAAAACAAAAAAAUUAAAGAAUUAGCAGCUAAAGCAUUAGAAGCUGCCGCAGAAUGGAAACUUAUUAGGAAGAGUGAAAAUGAAGAACAAGUACCGCAAAAUACAAAUAAUUUGGAAAAUAUUGAAUAAAUAUAUACAGUAUGCACUUAACUUAAUUUUGGUGUGUAAAGAAUAUCUAAUAAUGAAUAUUUAUCAUAAUACCGCAAAGUGCCUAAAAAAAGAUUAUCAAUUUCAUCUUUCAUAGCAAACAACACAAUAAAAUAUUUAAGUAAUACAUUCAAAAAUUUUUAAGAUGAAAAUAUACACUAUAAUUUAAAAAAUGGAUGAUUUAAAGCUUGAUCUGCAGUAAGACGUGUUUUAUAAUCUAAAUCCAAUAACCUUAGUAGAAGAUGAUAAGCUUCUUUUGGAAACUGAGUGUCCAAUGAUACCUUAAAAUAUAAAUAUUUUUUAACAUAAAAUCUUUAGUACAUUACAUUACA